GGGAGAGGAUCAAGCAGAUCUAGCAAACAAAGAGGAAGAGGAGAAAACAAGGGGGAGGGGAGAACUGGAAAAAUACGAGACAAAAACACAACAUUGAAGUCAUUUACCCUGCAGACUACGCUCAGGACUUAAAUGGACAUUUAACGCUGCUUAGGAAAAACCCCGACUACACAAGAACUGCAGAAAGAAGCUGGAAGGAAUGUAUACGUUCGUGAGCGUUAGUUCCCAUCUCUACAGCUGAGUCACCGUGAACAAACUGAAGCAUCAGUGUUAUGUCAGCGCAGCACUGCUUUCCCUUUCAUUUCAUGGGUCCGUGCCCCAGAACAAUACACCCCAGGGCCAUCGGAGCAGCAGUGAGAAAGGACAGUGACGCAAUUUGCAGCAACCUCCUCCUCACAGUGAAUCGUCCAUGGAGUUCUACACACACUGCAGUCACUGUUAGGUACACCCACAAGAACAGCAGAGAAAGCUGGCCUCUUCAAUGGAGCAGUGUAAAAAAAAAAAAAAAAAAUGUGAUCACCGAUGCUGAAGAUAAUCAGUACCAGUGAAGACAAUGACUUUUUCUCUCUUUUGUACCAACUUUCUGAUUCACCUGUUCUGUGAUUUGACCCAUUUUCAACAAUAAUUGUUAUUAUUACAUGAACUAGACCAGGGGUCACUGACCUUUUGGAAACUGAGAGCUACUUCAAGCUACUUGUUUAAUACAGACUUCCUGAACAAUGUAAUAAUAAUCAGUUCUGGGACAGACAAUAGCAGACUCUUCUAACCAUCGUCACUGCACCCAUUUGAAUAUCACUGAAAGUGAAACUGAUUAAAAACCACAGUAGCAGUAAAUUUCUUGACCCUCUUCUUGACUAGUUUUAUUUCUAGAACAUACCCUGCGGUCACCUUAGGUGGUCCACGGGGUCUACUAGGUGACCCCGGGCACCACGUUGGUGACCCCUGAACUACGCCAAGAAAUGCUCAGACUUUCAGUGGUGGCUGUUUUAUGAAGCCUGUGUCUGCACAUGAAGGCCACGGGUCUGUGAGGGAAAUGUUGCAUGUGUCUGGGAAACCACGACAGUAUCAUCAAACCGAGUUGACAAAACAAUUCCCAGGGGUUUACGGAGCUCACGUGAGGAACUGAAACGUGAGUGAAACAACAUUCCCUCUAGGUGUGCUGCCCGGGAUAAGUGCUGGGGGUAAACGGCCAUCAUGGAGUCAAGGACGACCUUGUUUACGUCUGCCAUCGCCACCAGCCGUGCUUCUCAUAUCUUCCCUCUGUUUGUGAUAGAAAAAUGACCUCACGUGACAAGAAGGCACUCACAGUUCUGUGAUAAAAUUAGCAUCAAAGCGUUGGUUAGAUGUCGAGGAUACAAGCACAGACACCACAGUCGAACUGUUAAAUACAAAAAAAUAAAUAAAUAAAAAAUAAUUUGAUGAUGGUAUUUUCUAUACGAUUCAUAAAGAAAUAUUGGACGAAUCAAACAUCUGCAAAUAAUUCUGUCAGUGACACAAGUGAUUCAUUCAAAGUUUGUGGGUAAAAACAUGUGCAUGGUUUCAAGUAAAUUACGUCAAAAAUAUGAGUCAGGUUAAAAUAGAGGAAGAAAACAACCAGUUUCAACAGACAGAAGAGCAACAGACGGCGGUGAUCACGCACGCACGCACA